UACGUAGGGGGCAAGCGUUGUCCGGAUUUAUUGGGCGUAAAGAGCGUGUAGGCGGCCUGGUAGGUCAGCUGUGAAAACUCGAGGCUCAACCUCGAGACGUCGGUUGAAACCACCUGGCUAGAGUCCGGAAGAGGAGAGUGGAAUUCCCGGUGUAGCGGUGAAAUGCGCAGAUAUCGGGAAGAACACCCGUGGCGAAGGCGGCUCUCUGGGACGGUACUGACGCUGAGACGCGAAAGCGUGGGGAGCGAACCGG
rnacentral:rRNA from 1 species